AGCGGCGGACGGGUGAGUAACGCGUGGGUAACCUGCCUCAUACAGGGGGAUAACAGUUAGAAAUGACUGCUAAUACCGCAUAAGACCACGGUACCGCAUGGUACAGUGGUAAAAACUUCGGUGGUAUGAGAUGGACCCGCGUCUGAUUAGGUAGUUGGUGGGGUAACGGCCUACCAAGCCGACGAUCAGUAGCCGACCUGAGAGGGUGAUCGGCCACAUUGGGACUGAGACACGGCCCAG
rnacentral:rRNA from 1 species